GCGGUCGAGGGUGCCGCAGAACGAACAAUUCUCUCGCCUUUUACUAGAGAAUUCCGUGUUGUGCCCUCACCAUGACCGCCUUACGAAUUUUUCAAAGCUCACUUCGUCUGAGUA
rnacentral:snRNA from 1 species